UUACCAGUGACCCCCGGCUUCGGCCGGGGAUGAUCAUAACCCUUUGCUGUCCGACUCUGUUGCCUCCGGGGCGACCCUGCCUCCGGGCGGGGGCCCCGGGUGGACACAUUCAAACUCUUGCGUAACUUUGCAGUCUGAGUAAAUUUAAUUAAUAAAUUAAAACUUUCAACAACGGAUCUCUUGGUUCUGGCAUCGAUGAAGAACGCAGCGAAAUGCGAUAAGUAAUGUGAAUUGCAGAAUUCAGUGAAUCAUCGAAUCUUUGAACGCACAUUGCGCCCCCUGGUAUUCCGGGGGGCAUGCCUGUUCGAGCGUCAUUUCACCACUCAAGCCUCGCUUGGUAUUGGGCGACGCGGUCCGCCGCGCGCCUCAAAUCGACCGGCUGGGUCUUCUGUCCCCUCAGCGUUGUGGAAACUAUUCGCUAAAGGGUGCCACGGGAGGUCACGCCGUAAAACAAGCCCAUUUCUAAGGUUGACCUCGGAUCAGGUAGGGAUACCCGCUGAACUUAAGCAUAUCAAUAAGCGGAGGAAAAGAAACCAACAGGGAUUGCUCUAGUAACGGCGAGUGAAGCAGCAAUAGCUCAAAUUUGAAAUCUGGCGUCUUCGGC
rnacentral:rRNA from 1 species